rnacentral:rRNA from 1 species
UACGUAGGUGGCAAGCGUUAUCCGGAAUUAUUGGGCGUAAAGCGCGCGCAGGCGGUUUCUUAAGUCUGAUGUGAAAGCCCACGGCUCAACCGUGGAGGGUCAUUGGAAACUGGGGAACUUGAGUGCAGAAGAGAAGAGUGGAAUUCCACGUGUAGCGGUGAAAUGCGUAGAGAUGUGGAGGAACACCAGUGGCGAAGGCGACUCUUUGGUCUGUAACUGACGCUGAGGCGCGAAAGCGUGGGGAGCAAACAGG